rnacentral:sRNA from 1 species
CAGGAUGAGACGAGUUUCUCUGCCGCAGGUUCGGGUCGAACGCAGUGAGACAACGGAGCCGCUUGCGGCGACGGCCCGAAGGGCGAGGCGAAGCCGAGUCAUCCUG